rnacentral:rRNA from 1 species
AUACGGAGGAUCCGAGCGUUAUCCGGAUUUAUUGGGUUUAAAGGGAGCGUAGGUGGGAUAUUAAGUCAGCUGUGAAAGUUUGGGGCUCAACCUUAAAAUUGCAGUUGAUACUGGUUUCCUUGAGUACGGUACAGGUGGGCGGAAUUCGUUGUGUAGCGGUGAAAUGCAUAGAUAUGACGAAGAACACCGAUUGCGUAGGCAGCUGACCAGACCGCAAAUGACGCUCAUGCACGAAAGUGCGGGGAUCGAACAGGAUUAGAUACCCUGGUAGUCCGCACAGUAAACGAUGAAUACUUGUUUUCGGCGAUAUAAUGUCGGAGGCAAAGCGAAAGCGAUAAGUAUUCCACCUGGGGAGUACGCCGGCAACGGUGAAACUCAAAUGAAUUGGCGGGG